AAAAAGAGGGGGAGACCUUUUUUACAAAGGGACGGCAUAACUCCAAAAAUAAACAGAAAUUGGUGAAGAUUUCUGUUGGAGUAAUGAGGAGGAUGGAUGGCUGCCUUAAACCUGUGAGAGGGAGGUCACUUCCCCUUAAUGUUGAACCUCAAUGGGCAUGUGAAGAACUGUUGGCUGCUGCCAUAAAAAAGCAGAAAGCCUUUAACCAGGACUUGGAAGAUGGUGCCCAUGUCUUGUUGUACCCUGAUGCGAGGGUGAUAACAAAUAUCCCCGGAACGGACACCCCUUUCACAGUACAGAUGUACAAAGAGGCCAUUGGAAAGCCCUACCAACGAAUUACGUUGUACAUCUGUACUCUUGAAGCCGUUGAAAACAGUUGUUACACUGGAACAACCUCUUCAAGUGACGAGGACAGUGUGGUUGUUGCAAAGUUGCCAUCUGGAGACAGUCUUGCUGACACCGUGGUCAGUUUGGAUCUAUCGUGGCAUUUAUUCUUAAUUAAAGUGAAUUUAUUUUAUUUCAGUCAGUCAUUUGUGUGUUGUAUGCAGG